rnacentral:snRNA from 1 species
GUGCUCGCUUCCGCAGCAUACUAAAAUUGGAACGAUACAGAGAUUAGCAUGGCCCCAGUGCAAGGAUGACAGGCAAAUUCGUGAAGCAUUCCAUAUUUUU